GACGAACGCUGGCGGCGUGCCUAAUACAUGCAAGUCGAACGCAGUUGCGAACGGGUGAGUAACGCGUAGGUAACUGCCUCAUAGCGGGGGUUAACUAUUGGUAACGCUAGCUAAUACCUCAUAUUGUGGGAUGGACCUGCGUUUUAUUCGCUAGUUGGUGAGGUAAAGGCUCACCAAGGCGACGAUACAUAGCCGACCUGAGAGGGUGAUCGGCCACACUGGGACUGAGACACGGCCCAGACUCCUACGGGAGGCAGCAGUAGGGAAUCUUCGGAAAUGGACGAAAGUCUGACCGAGCAACGCCGCGUGAGUGAAGAAGGUUUUCGGAUCGUAAAGCUCUGUUGUUAGAGAAGCGGUAACAAACAAGAAAGGGACGCCUAACUACGUGCAAGAGCCGCGGUAAUUC
rnacentral:rRNA from 1 species